ensembl:lncRNA
AUGAUGCCCUACCACUGCUGCCAUUUUCCCACAAUCUGCACAGAUGGUGUUUUCAAACCCCAUCUGCUAUAUCUCCUUGUGACCAAGCAUAUCCUGAAAGAGGUGACUAGUCUUCCAUGGCAAAUCAAUUCCAGUAAUGAGCCUCUUGCUAAAGAAGCAUCCAGAGCCCUCGACCAGAAUCUUCAAACUUAAGAAGAGUGGAGGGAUCUUUUGCACUCUGCAACAGAAGUACGUGCCACUGAACUAUGAAGUACAGGGAUUUUAGGUCCUCUUGUGAGGAAAUGCCUUCCUAUUAGUGGUUCUGUUUUUGCCCUUGCUGUGGUUUUAUAUGCAAAGUAGCUAUUCAGCAGACAUAGCCAAAUACCUUAACUGUGCAUCAGUUAUUUUAUCGGAAACGCAGACCAAGAAAUUAUGAUAGAAAUACGGAAACAGACCAAAGUACAUGUGGUAAUUUAAUAUGAUAAAUAAUAAGAUCUCAAAUUAAGGGUUGAGGAAGAGAACAUUUUAAGGAAUUGUUUUAGGACAAAGACAUAGACAUUUGAGAAAAAAGACAAAUUUGGAUUUAUACCACACACAUUGUACCAUAUAUUGGAUAAAUGCAAAUUAAUCAGAAAUCUAAAUGUAAAAAUAAAACUAUACAAAAAUUGUAAAAAAAUAACUUAUUACUUUUACAAUGUUGAAGUGAGGAAACCUAAAUUUGAUCUAGAAGUAAUUAUAAGAAAAAUGAGUAUAUUAUACUAUAUAUUUUAUUUAUAUAUAUAUAUAUAUUUUUUUUUAAUUGCACUUUAGGUUCUGGGAUACAUGUGCAGAACAUGCAGGAUUGUUGCAUAGUUACAUACACAGCAAUGUGGUUUACUGCCUCCAUCCCCCCAUCAUCUAUAUCUUGCAUUUAUCCCCUUGUUAUCCCUCCCCAACCUUCCUUCCCCCUGCUGUCCCUCCCCUAUUCCUACCCAACAGACCCCAUUGUGUGAUGCCCUCCUCCCUGUGUUUUUAACUUUUCUUGUUAACCCUAAAACUGUAAAAAUCUUGAAAGACAACCUAGGUAAUAUCAUUCAAGAUGUAGGCACAGGCAAAGAUUUCAUACUGAAAAUGAAAAAAGCAAUUGCAACGAAAGCAAAGAUGACAAAUGAGAUCUAAUUAAACCCAACAGCUUAAAUAGCCUUUUUUUUUUUUUUUGAGAUGGAGUUUUGCUCUUGUUGCCCAGACUGGAGUGCAAUGGCACGAUCUCCACUCACCAUAACCUCUGCCUCCCAGGAUCAAGUGAUUCUCCUACCUCAGCCUCCUGAGUAGCUGGGAUAUGCCACUAUGCCCAGCUUAUUUUGUAUUUUUGGUAGUGACAGAGUUUCUCCAAUUUGUCAGGCUGGUCUCUCACUCCCAACUGCAGGUAAUUCAUCUGCCUUAGCCUCCCAAAGUGUUGGGAUUACAGGCUAGAGCCAUCACGCCCUGCCUAAACUAAACAGCUUCUGCAUAGCACAAGAAACUAUCAACAGAACAAACAGACAGUCUACGGGAUGGGAGGAAAUUUUUGCAAACUAUGCAUCUGACAAAAAUCUUAUCUUCAGCAGCUAUAAGGAACUUAAAUUUACAAGAAAAAGACAAUCUUAUUAAAAUGUGGGCAAAGGACUUGAACAGACACUUUUAAAAAGAAGUCAUGCAUGUAGCCGACAAUCAUAUAAAAAAAAAGCUUAACAUCACUGAUCAUUAGAGAAAUGCAGAUCAAAACUACAAUGAGAUACCAUCUCAUACCAAUCAGAAUGGCUAUAUUAAAAGGUCAAAAAAUAACAGAUGUUGGUGAGGCUGUGGAAAAAAAUAAAUGCGUAAACACUGUUGGUGGUAGUGUACAUUAGUUCAACCAUUGUUGAAGACAGUGUGGAGAUUCCUCAAAGAUCUAGAACCAGAAAUACUAUUUAACCCAGCAAUAUUGCUGGGUAUAUUCCCAAAGGAACAUAAAUCAUUCUGUUAUAAAGAUACUUGCAUGCAUAUGUUUAUUGUAGCACUAUUCACCAUGGAAAAGACAUGUAAUCAACCUAAAUGUCUCUCAAUGGUAGACUAGAUAAAGAAAAUGUGGUGCAUAUACAGCACAGAAUACUAUUCAGACAUAAAAAAGAACAAGAUUAUGCCCUUUGCAGGGACAUGGAUGGAGCUGAAGGUCAUUGUGCUUAGCAAACUAAUUCAGGAACAGAAAACCAAAUACCACAUGUUCUUACUUAUAAGUGGGAGCUAAAUGAUGUAAACUUGUGGACAUAAGAGGGAAAUAACUUACACUGAGGCCUUUUGGAGGGUGGAGGGUGGGAGGAGGGAGAGUAUCAGAAAAAAUGACAAAUGAGUACUAGGCUUAAUACCUGGGAGAUGAAAUAAUCUGCACAACAAACCCCUAUGACACAAGUUUACCUGUGUAACAAACCUGCACACAUAACCUUGAACUUAAAAGUUAAAAAAAUUGGGCAAAGGACAUGAAUAGACAUUUCUCAAAAAAAGACAUACAAACUGCCAACAAACAUGAAAAAGUGCUCAUCAUUACUAAUCGUCAGAGAAAUGCCCAUCAAAACCACAAUGAGAUGCCAUCUCACACAAGAUGGACUAGCAAUUAUUAAAAAGUCAAAAAAAUAGAUGCUCGUGAAGUUGCAAAGAAAAGGGAACUCUUUUACACUAUUGGUAGGAAUGUAAAUUAGUUCAACUACUAUGGAAAAACAGUUUGGAGAUUUCACAAAGAACUUAAGACAAAGCUACCAUUUACCCAGCAAUCCCAUUAUUUGGCAUAUAUACCCAAUGGGAAAUAAAUCAUUCCACCAAAAAGACACAUGUAUCUGUAUGUUCAUCACCAUGCUAUUCAUAAUAGCAAAGGCAUGAAAUCAACCUAGGUGCCCAUCACUGGUAGAUUGGAUAAAGAACAUGUGGUAGAUAUCCAUCAUGGAAUAAAAUACAGCCAUAAAAAUGGAAAAAAUUCUAUCUCUUGUUACUAUAUGGAUACAGUUGCAGAUACAAGAACAGAAAACCAAAUAUUUCAUUUUCUCACUUAUAAGUGGGAGCCACACAUUGAGCACCCAUGGACAUAAAUGUGGAAGGAAUAGAUACUGCAGACUACUAGAAGGGGGAAUGGGAGGAUAAGAUGAAAAACUACCUAUUGGGUAUUAUGCUCACUCCCUAGUUGUCAAGAUUAUCCAUAUGUCACACUUCAGCAUUAUGCAAUACACUCAUAUAACCAACCUGCACAUGUACCCCCUGUAUCUAAAAUAAAAGUUUGAAAAAGAAGAACCACAGAUGGCCUCAUCACAUUGACCAAUCUCCCCCUCACAUCCUCCAGCUCUUUUCACUUGCUCACUCAGUGCUCAGACUUCCCGUUUUUGUUUGAGGGGAGUUGAAUUGAAUAUCCGUAUUGCAAUAGUGGUGAAUAAAGUUUUACUUUCCUGUUUAAUCCUGUCUGGUGCAAUUUUUCUUUGACAAUAAAUACCAUCUUGCUAAGACCAGAUCAUUCAUGACUGAGACUUAAAAUCCAAGCCUCCAGGAAAGAAAAAUUAAGAGCUCGCUGUCUUGUUUCAACACCACCUGUGACAUUUUUAUAGCCAGACUGGGCACUUAUUCAAUGAUGAGGACCUACUUUAACAAUUGUCUUUAGGAAUAGAAAUACAUUUAGGAAGACAUCACGGCUUGCUAAUAGAUCUUCCUCAUCUAUGCUUUUAUCAGUCAGCAUUUUCAGUUUUUCAGUUGUGUCAUGUGGGAAAAAUAAAUUGCCAGCCUUCUGCAUAUGAUCAUAUACCUCCUGGCCACCUCCAUAAGAGCCCAGUAAAAUCCAUUCUCUAUGU